rnacentral:lncRNA from 1 species
CUGUGUAUUAGAGGCUCAUUCGUGUGUGUGGUGAAUAUCUGAAGUGGUUCCACUAUAUUUUUCAUCCAUACAUCACUGUUCAACAAAAGAGACCCUUCAUAAUACUUAUUUGCAUUAUUUUUUGUUGGCGUUAUUUGAGAGGACGACUUAUGAACUUAGUAUUAUAUAUCAUACAUCAUACGAGGUUGAUUAUUGAAAUUGCUUACGCUUAUACCUCCCGCAACACUUAUUGAC